rnacentral:tRNA from 1 species
AUAUAAAUAGUAUAAUACAAUUACAUUAGAUUUUCAUUCUAAAUAUACAUCCUUUUGUUUUAUAUC